CACCGCCACGGGAAUACAGAGGGUGCAAGCGUUAAUCGGAAUUACUGGGCGUAAAGCGCGCGUAGGUGGUUUGUUAAGUUGAAUGUGAAAUCCCCGGGCUCAACCUGGGAACUGCAUCCAAAACUGGCAAGCUAGAGUAGGGCAGAGGGUGGUGGAAUUUCCUGUGUAGCGGUGAAAUGCGUAGAUAUAGGAAGGAACACCAGUGGCGAAGGCGACCACCUGGGCUCAUACUGACACUGAGGUGCGAAAGCGUGGGGAGCAAACAGGAUUAGAUACCCCAGUAGUCCCUGUCUCUUAUACA
rnacentral:rRNA from 1 species